CCCAGACUCCUACGGGAGGCAGCAGUGGGGGAUAUUGCACAAUGGGGGGAACCCUGAUGCAGCGACGCCGCGUGGGUGAAGGAGCGUUUCGGCGCGUAAAGCCCUAUCGGCAGGGAAGAAGGAGGACGGUACCUGACUAAGAAGCCCCGGCUAACUACGUGCCAGCAGCCGCGGUAAUACGUAGGGGGCAAGCGUUAUCCGGAUUUACUGGGUGUAAAGGGGGCGCAGACGGCAGCGCAAGCCAGGAGUGAAAGCCCGGGGCCCAACCCCGGGACUGCUCUUGGAACUGCGCGGCUGGAGUGCAGGAGGGGCAGGCGGAAUUCCUGGUGUAGCGGUGAAAUGCGUAGAUAUCAGGAGGAACACCGGUGGCGAAGGUGGCCUGCUGGACUGCGACUGACGUUGAGGCCCGAAAGCGUGGGGAGCAAACAGGAUUAGAUACCCUCGUA
rnacentral:rRNA from 1 species